AAGAGGGAAAGAAUAAAAAUAGCUUCUAACUAAUUUUUAAAGCGGUUAAACUCCGUUUACCUCUUU
rnacentral:tRNA from 1 species